GUCUACAGCCAUGCUACCCUGAACAAGCCCGAUCUCGUCUGAUCUUGGAAGCUAAGCAGGGUCGGGCCUGGUUAGUACUUGGAUAGGAGACCACCUAGGAAGACCAGGUGCUGUAGGUG
rnacentral:rRNA from 1 species